AUUAUAAGGUUGGCCAAUAAGGUUGGGAUCAUGUGAUUCUUUCUUAUUGCAUUGGAUCAUCUGUGGGGUAAUCCUCACUUUUUUAGUACUAUAGGUACAACUUUUAAGGACUUUUCUUUUUAUUAUCAUAAAUAUAACGCACUCUCGAUAGAUAAAUAAUGUACACUAUCAUCAGUUUCUGAUCGCAAUACCCAUCGAUGCGAGAACGGAUGAUGUGGAAUGUAUUCUAUUAUUCUGUGUUAAGUAAGUGAUUGACAUGAGCACCGAACAUAGUGAUAUAUUAUGAGGGAAAGAGGAUAUAUAUAUUUGGCAAGUGAUUCGAGAUUGGCUGCCCGAGUAAAUUCAUCUUUGUCCCCAACCACCACUUAUUUUCUAUUCGCCAGACUUUGGCUUUGGUAAGUGAUUCUCGAAUUACGUCAAACAUAAAAAAGGAGUUUUACACAUGGCAGUGGUGUAGUAAUAUAGGGUUGAAUCGAAGUUGGAGAGACCUACGUUUAUAGAUCGAGUUCAACACAGAGAAAGUAAUUGAAGAGUCCGAACGUGUAUUUCGGAACAACCGUUUGUUCGACUCGACAAAAUUCGACACUACGGCUUUUGACAAUAAUAUAUUGACCUAAUGUUUUUAGAAAGGCACAUUUGGUCUAUUGUUUUUUUUAUUUCAUGCUUUCCAAAGGCACGGGUCCCUUUACUCAUAUACUGCCUUUUACACAAUUUACAUUACUCGACCAUGGGCCUGGGCCCGCACCACUAUUGUGUGACUUGUAGCAUCAGAAGAUCAUUUGUUUAUAUUUAAUGUACGUUUGAGGUGGGCAGCUGCACAAAGGUUGAUCAUGAUUUGAAAUAGGCGGGCAAAAGAAGGUACGAGCGUUAAAAGUGAUAUGGCAAACAAUAACAAACGCUUUUAAACGUUACCAGCCAGUCGCCGAUACAUUGCAUGC